GUGAGCUCCAGAGACUUGAAGGAGACUGAGGUGAGGUACAGUAAUAAGGAGUAGCCCUCCCUCCCUCCCUCUGAUUAGAGACCCCAGACCAGGAUGUGAGCUCCAGAGACUUGAAGGAGACUGAGGUGAGGUACAGUAAUAAGGAGAAGCCCUCCCUCCCUCUGAUUAGAGACCCCAGACCAGGAUGUGAGCUCCAGAGACUUGAAGGAGACUGAGGUGAGGUACAGUAAUAAGGAGAUGCCCUCCCUCCCUCUGAUUAGAGACCCCAGACCAGGAUGUGAGCUCCAGAGACUUGAAGGAGACUGAGGUGAGGUACAGUAAUAAGGAGUAGCCCUCCCUCCCUCUGAUUAGAGACCCCAGACCAGGAUGUGAGCUCCAGAGACUUGAAGGAGACUGAGGUGAGGUACAGUAAUAAGGAGUAGCCCUCCCUCCCUCCCUCUGAUUAGAGACCCCAGACCAGGAUGUGAGCUCCAGAGACUUGAAGGAGACUGAGGUGAGGUACAGUAAUAAGGAGUAGCCCUCCCUCCCUCCCUCUGAUUAGAGACCCCAGACCAGGAUGUGAGCUCCAGAGACUUGAAGGAGACUGAGGUGAGGUACAGUAAUAAGGAGUAGCCCU
rnacentral:lncRNA from 1 species